AGCUUUGCGCAGUGGCAGUAUCAUAGCCAAUGAGGUUUAUCUGAGGCGUGAUUAUUGCUAGUUGAAAAAUACUGUUAAGAAAAUGAAAAGACAUACCACAACUUGGGAGAAAAUAUUUAUAAAAACACAUAAAAGCAUUUGUGUU